rnacentral:rRNA from 1 species
UACUUAGUGGCGGACGGGUGAGUAACGCGUGAGUAACCUGCCUUGGAGUGGGGAAUAACACAGUGAAAAUUGUGCUAAUACCGCAUGAUAUAUCGGUACCGCAUGGUAGUGAUAUCAAAGAUUUAUCGCUCUGAGAUGGACUCGCGUCUGAUUAGCUGGUUGGCGGGGUAACGGCCCACCAAGGCGACGAUCAGUAGCCGGACUGAGAGGUUGACCGGCCACAUUGGGACUGAGACACGGCCCAGACUCC